rnacentral:rRNA from 1 species
GAUAGCACCGGCUAACUACGUGCCAGCAGCCGCGGUAAUACGUAGGGUGCAAGCGUUAAUCGGAAUUACUGGGCGUAAAGCGUGUGUAGGCGGUUCGGAAAGAAAGAUGUGAAAUCCCAGGGCUCAACCUUGGAACUGCAUUUUUAACUGCCGAGCUAGAGUAUGUCAGAGGGGGGUAGAAUUCCACGUGUAGCAGUGAAAUGCGUAGAUAUGUGGAGGAAUACCGAUGGCGAAGGCAGCCCCCUGGGAUAAUACUGACGCUCAGACACGAAAGCGUGGGGAGCAAACAGGAUUAGAUACCCUGGUAGUCCACGCCCUAAACGAUGUCAACUAGCUGUUGGGGCCGUUAGGCCUUAGUAGCGCAGCUAACGCGUGAAGUUGACCGCCUGGGGAGUACGGUCGCAAGAUUAAAACUCAAAGGAAUUGACGGGGACCCGCACAAGCGGUGGAUGAUGUGGAUUAAUUCGAUGCAACGCGAAAAACCUUACCUACCCUUGACAUGUCUGGAAAGCCGAAGAGAUUUGGCCGUGCUCGCAAGAGAACCGGAACACAGGUGCUGCAUGGCUGUCGUCAGCUCGUGUCGUGAGAUGUUGGGUUAAGUCCCGCAACGAGCGCAACCCUUGUCAUUAGUUGCUACGCAAGAGCACUCUAAUGAGACUGCCGGUGACAAACCGGAGGAAGGUGGGGAUGACGUCAAGUCCUCAUGGCCCUUAUGGGUAGGGCUUCACACGUCAUACAAUGGUCGGGACAGAGGGUCGCCAACCCGCGAGGGGGAGCCAAUCUCAGAAACCCGAUCGUAGUCCGGAUCGCAGUCUGCAACUCGACUGCGUGAAGUCGGAAUCGCUAGUAAUCGCGGAUCAGAAUGUCGCGGUGAAUACGUUCCCGGGUCUUGUACACACCGCCCGUCACACCAUGGGAGUGGGUUUCACCAGAAGUAGGUAGCCUAACCGUAAGGAGGGCGCUUACCACGGUGGGAUUCAUGACUGGGGUGAAGUCGUAACAAGGUAGCGUAUACAUCACGCGAAU